rnacentral:rRNA from 1 species
UACGUAGGAGACGAGCGUUGUCCGGAGUUACUGGGCGUAAAGGGUGCGCAGGUGGUUGUGCGCGUGGGGGGUGAAAUCGCCCGGCUUAACUGGGCGGGGGCCUUCCAGACGGCAUGACUUGAGCAGCGGAGGGGGACGUGGAAUUCCGGGUGGAGCGGUGAAAUGCGUAGAGAUCCGGAGGAACACCGACGGCGCAGGCAGCGUCCUGGCCGCUUGCUG